rnacentral:rRNA from 1 species
AGAGUUUGAUUACUGGCUCAGAACGAACGCUGGCGGCAGGCUUAACACAUGCAAGUUGAACGGUAUUUGUAUGGUGCUUGCACCAGACAAAGAGAGUAGCGCACUGGUGAGUAACACGUGGGAACGUGCCUUUUAGUGGGGGACAACAGUUGGAAACGACUGCUAAUACCGCAUAAGCCCUGAGGGGGAAAGAUUUAUCGCUAAAAGAUCGGCCCGCGGAAGAUUAGGCAGUUGGUGGGGUAAAGGCCUACCAAACCUACGAUCUAUAGCUGGUCUGAGAGGACGAUCAGCCACAUUGGAACUGAGACACGGUCCAGACUCCUACGGGAGGCAGCAGUGAGGAAUAUUGGGCAAUGGAGGGAACUCUGAACCCCCAGCCAUGCCGCGUGAGUGAGAAGGUCUUCGGAUUGUAAAGCUCUUUCGGAUGGGACGAUGAUGACGGUACCAUCUAAAGAAGCCCCGGCAAACUUCGUGCCAGCCGCCGC